AAAUAAGUAAGCUGGAAGUUUUGCUUCUCAGGGCGGAAGGAUGAAAGAUGUGUUUUGAAAAUGCCACGUGACUACCGUCCCCCUCCCUCCCGGAUCAGUCCGCAUGUUCAUGGCACCAGCAUUUGUUAUGGAAUAUAUUGAGCAAACCUGGAGAUAUUAUUGUUGUCAUUGCUGUGGAUCUUUACUGACUUGGCUCGGGACCAGCACUCCUGUUGUUGGACAGAAAGACAUCAACUCAGUGACUUGAGAUAUGACUGCACUAUGCUGUUGCUGUGACUCCAGUUAAUUCUACAAGACAUGCUGUG